UCUAACGCGUGACUUUCUUUCAGAACCAUGGCAGUUAGUUUGACUAUGAUGGUUGGCAGAGUGGGAGCCGUUUUAGGGAAUCUACUGUUUCCAGUUUUGUUCAAACUGUCUUGCAUAGGUCCCUUCAUUCUGAUCGGUUCCGCGUCUCUAGUAUCGGCCUUUCUAGUGGCCCUGCUGCCCAGAAAGCAUUCGGAAGAGGCUAAAUCGAAAGACGUUAUUUGACAAUAACUCCUCACGGACGUUCACUUCAAUCCGCCCGAUUGAAGCCUCAGGAUCUAGCUUGUUCCAACCAAGUAUACCACAUGUAAAUACACUAUGUCCCUGUUCGUUCAUCAACGCGUAAUUCGGUUGCAUGAUCCUCCAUCAUGUAAAUAUGUAAAUACGGUACAGCUACGUUCAUAUAGCGUAAGAUUUUCGUACGUUUCAUGUGUAUACAUGGAAUUAUAAUAAGUGCACUAUACAACGUGUAGAGUGCGUGUCGUAAGUGAGAUCUUUUUUAAAAACGAAUCUCGUGACUGCAUCGUUUGCAAUCGUUGUAGGAAUGUUGUUUCUAUGUUGUUUCCGAUCGUUCGAUCGACAAGCGAGUUUGCUGGAAAAUAGAAUAAGUAGCGCAGUGAAAUAAUUUAAUGAAUAUGCAACAGCUUCGUUGUACAAUAAAUCUAUUUUAUUAUUUUAGAAUAAA